GGCAUCUAUUUCUUUGUAUCUGCAUAUCUCUUCUUAUAGAGAUUCAGACAAAAUCUGCCAUAUGAUGAAGUUUCUUUCCAAUUUUUUUACAUGCUGUUCCUCAUGCAGUUUGAAUGUAUGUCUUUAUUAAUUAACAAGAGCUUAUGAAAGGCAGAAAGAAAAUCCAAGAACAAAGGAGAUGAGUAUGAAACUAAGGUACAGAGGCUUGAGAACUGCUAGAAAGAAAGAAAACAGCCAGGAAAGAAGAAAAGCAAGCUCUCAGUAGUGUUAAAGUGGGGGAGAAAGAAAUAAGGUUUGGGGAGGACACCACUUCCAGCAAGCCAAGUUUUCUUGGCUGAAGAGGAGCUGUUCUUCAUCUUCAGCUAAGCCCAGUUUGUAUUUAACAACCUAAUUUUUCUUGCUUAACAACCACAGCUCUCCAUCUCAGCCCUUGGCCCUGUGUUAAAUGCAGUUUGUUGCGUGCUUUCCAGCAUGUUUGCUGCAGCCUGAGGCUCUGCAUUUUGACCACACUCUGAUGAGCCCUUUUGACCUUCCCAGCAUCAUUGCAGACAAUGGCUGUUCUGCACAAAAGAGAGCUGAGAGAUGUAGAUCUGGAGAUAAAAGUUACGUUUCAAUAUUCACCACAAAUACUGACACAAGAAAUGAGGAGAAAUUGGAAAAAUACAAUUCUAACAUGAAAAGAGGAAUAAAGACAUUGAGACAUAUCUUCAUGUUGACAGUAUUUGAAAGUCAUCUUUUCCUUGGCAUUUUGAAUAACAAGUUCAGUGAGAUAAAGCACAAUGAAGAUCUUUUGAAGAAGCAUCUGGAAUUCAUCUGUGUAAAGAAACACCUGGCAAUGCCCAUGGGGACUCAGAGAUGAGAAGGCAGCUGGACCAGAAGUGACUGCUUUGUUCCUCCAGUGAACAGCAUACAAGCACUGCCUUUUUCUGAUGGACUGUUGGAGGUGGACUUAAUAAAAUUCUUUCACUGUACAUCAGCUUAUCCCAAAAAGAAAUUAGAAGAUACUCUUUACUUUUAGUAUAAGGAGUGAACAGCACCCACACAAAAGAAAGAUGAAAAGGAUUUAAUAAAGUAUGUUUUACAGUACCCUCUACUCAACAGAAUCACAAAAUCAUGGGAUUGCAGUGACUCUGUCAUCACUGGAUUUCAGCAGAAGUGUGGCACAUCCCAGGAUAGAUUCCACCACUGUGGAAGCACAGCCCUCAGGGUUCCCUAGGGUUACUCUUGAACACGUGUAAAUCAGCCUCCAACUCUUCUUGUUAGGUAAGUAUUGCUUAGCAUUGAGCAUUUGUUCAUUUCUUGCUUGCACAAUGGUUUGACUUUCUUAAUUCCAGAUGCCUGUCCUUUAAAAUCUAUAUGAGCCAGCAGCUACACACACAGUAUUCUUUGAUCUUAUGGUAUGAGCUUCCUACACAGCAGGAAGCAGAUAUUUUUUUCAUGUCAAAAUCGAGCCAUAUCUCAGAAGGAAACAAAAAUAAGCUUUUUCUUCUCUGCCCCAGUUUUCAUCACAAAACCUUUGGCCCCUCUUGCUUUUGUAAGAUCUUUCCUCCCUGUCUGCCACGUGAACUGUGGGAAGUCUUUCCCAAGUGCAUUUAAGCCCUUCCCAUCAAUCCAUCCAAAAAGUUGCUUUAGGUUCAGUGUCCCUCAAUUCAAACACUCCCUUCUGCUCCUGUGGGUUUUAACUCAGAAAUAUUAAUAUCACCUGAAUUGCCUGGCCUUGAAAGGUCAUCUUCAAAAAGUGUAGCAACACUCUUCUUGACCACUGCUCUGUGUUGGCAGAAUGGAAAGAAAAUGAAACUGCAGAUGACUUUGCACCUGAUUUCCUUACUUUUAAAAGCAUUUCUUGAUCAUUUUGAUUUCUUAAAAAUAUUUAAAGAAACUUGUAUGACUUAGGUCACAGAUAAUCCUUUACUAAUACAAUGUCUUAGUAUUGUAAAGGUACAGUAACUGUAGGGUACUGUAUGUGCUAUAUAUUUUCAAUAGUUGUGUAUUCUACCUGUAAUAAGAUUUCACUGCUUUGCUCUUCGAAGUUAUAGGACCUACUACUUUGAUACAGGACUGCCUUUUAGUUUGUGGAUCAUAAAGUCAGUCACGGUAUAUAUGCAAAUGAAGUUUUGAGGGAUGAGGGCAAAGAUGAGUGUUAGGGAAGGAGUUUAGGCUUCCUUCAGAAACUUUGCAGCUCAUGGCUGAACCAAAAUUUGUGUAGGCGUAGCUGGGAAAAUGGGCUGAGCAGGCUGUUAAAGAAGCAUAAAUGCCUCCGAAAUUGACUUACGGAUGGCUACCUGAGGUGUCAGCGCCACAUGAUGCUAUAUUAUAGUCAUUUUAAUGUUUUACUCUGUCCAUUUAUGCCUUUGGUCCCAUUCCCAGAAUGGCUGAGUCACCUUUAUAAACUCAUGGCAAAGAAACACAGUGACGGGGAAGGGAGCAGGACUAUAAUGUUUGAAUUCUGAGCUAUAUCUGCUCAAAGUACAUCUCAACUAUUCCCAGAAAUGCUGGAGAAAACUCUGAUCUCUUUCACUUAGCACUCCCAGACGCCCAGCAAAUCGGUCCAUGUACCACCCUCCAGAGGAUAAAUCCAGCAUCUCCAAACUCUCAGAGGCCCCACGUUUCAGCUGCAGAAGCUGUUAUGAGUAUGUGUUUAGGGAUAAGCAAACAGCAGCAUGACAGACAGCACUCAUGACUCAACCUUGAUAAUAGGCAAACCAAAUAGUCAAAUAAUUCACUGUAAUUCAGCCUAGCAAUUCAAAAUACCACACACUCCUGAUUCUCUGGCAAGCUAACUCAUGUAUGGUAUGAUAUAUUUUUUCAGCAGUUUCAAACUGCCAAAAAUGUGGUAUUAUUUCUCAAACAGGAAACAAAUUAAUGAAGGAUAUGAGAGGUAAAUGAAAACAUGUCACAGAAUGAAAACAUAGUUCAGAAGCUCUUAAUAAAUUAAAAGUUACAAAAAGCAAUUUACAGAGUGUUUUAUGUAUGUCACUACGAUGAGGUUUUAUUGGUGUGAUAUCAUAAUUUGGCUGUCUCUGGUCCCUUUCUCUUGGCAGCUCUAGCUCUAAAGACAUUAUUCGCUUGACAUGCCAGCUCAGGAAGCUGAAUGCCAGAGGUCUGCUUUAUUUGGGCAGUAAUCAACAGGACUUGUAGGUUUACCUAAGGACUUCUACAUCAGUUCUCCAUGUACUGCAUCUUGGGGUCUUUCUUGUUUGACUUUAGUAAUUGCUUUUUUGUGCAAAGAAACUGACUAAAGUCAUCAGGAUUCACUGCUGAAAUUGCAUGGUUUUCAGUUGUUUUCCAAAUUUCCCACAGAAUUAUCUGUGUUUACAAAUGUAUCCAGAUUUUACUUUGAACUUCCUUCCUUCCUCCUGCCCUUAAAGAUAAAUGAAUUCCUAAACAUGUUUGUACUUGCAAAUUCAUAGAUUUAUACACUUCAUGCCACUUUAAUCCCUAUUAAACUAAUCUGAAGUCAUGUCAGGCCAACUAUCCACAGUAAAAUGGAUUAGACAAGCCAGUUGAUCAAAGAUAGAAAUGACUCUGGAUUCUUUUUCUGUCUAGCCUCUGUGCAUUUAGUGCACUAUUUUCAUACAAAUAAUUUUGUUCUCUUUAAUUCUUUUGUGAUUAAGCUAAUUCAAAAAUAACAUUGGUUCUUAGAGAAUCAUUAGUGUGAAGCAGAACAGACAAUGCUUUUAAUUAGGGCUUUUUGUACCUCCUCUAUCCAUUUAGUAAUAAAAUUACUUCUGUAUUAAUUGAUUAGCUAUUUUAAUUUACACAGCAAUAAGUGCUGAUAUACAGUGGCCAUGAAACAGCUUUGUUAAGUAAUUUUUGAAGUACAGCUGAUAUUUGUUUCCUGGAGAAGUGAAAGAUGUUUUGUUUAAAAGCUUUGUGAUGCAUGUGCUGUAGCUUCUGACAGUCCUUCUCAGCAGAAUGCAAUAGACCUCUCACUGAAUUUUAAGGAACUUAGUAUGCACUAUUUCAGCUUUAUUUUUAUUUCUACUAGAGACUCUCGUGUUGCUAAAGGAAUACGUAGGUUCUUUGGAUGUCUGCAAAUUAUGUAAAAGACCUCUAUAUAUAAAGGAAGUCUUAGACUAGAAAAGAAUGCUUAACUACUGAAUUCUAGGAGGAGCACUGUGUUUUUGAUUUUAUUUAUAAUUCUGUUAAUAUUUGACACAAAAAAACAAAUUAACAUACUUUCCCUUAUGAAAGGGAAUAGUCAUUAAAAAUGGCUGUUGGGAACUAAUUCUUCAUGCAUUUUUUAAAAUGGAACAAAUUGCUGUUUGGAAUAAUGGAUUAACAUAAUUAGAUCACUCACAAGCUCUGUUCAGUUGGCCACAUUAACAGAAAUAUAUGAUAAGACUACUUCUAUAGUGCUGCUUUCCACAUUUUGUUUUAAGAACAAUGGCUUGGCUUCUCAGCUGAUCUAAAUUCUUCACACUGAAGGAUGGAAAUGCAAUGAGGGUGUAUGUUUCUUAAUUAUAAAUUACCUCACUCAAAUGACCUUAUACUGUUUGACUGUCAUAAGAAAAUGUCUGUGCAAAUACUAAUCAUAACUAUUUCCCCUGCCUUUCCUCCACAGAAGGAAAUUUCUAGGCCACCUCAACACAUUCACAUGACAUGGCAGCUGGCUGACCCAGUCUUACCUACCCUAACCCACUCUACCCAUUCUCAAGCACUUACUCCCUACUGCAGGAAUGAGACUUUCACUCUCAUCCUGUUCCCUCCAUUAUGUCAUGCCAUAGUUGGAACAACAGCAGACAAUACUUUGUCGUUCUCCUCAUCAAUUGAAAGGUUUUGCACAUGGUUUGGAUCUGCAUAAAAUUCUCUGAUCCUUAUACAUGCGAGUGAGAAUGGAAAAGGAAAGAAUUCAAUAGUUUUUUUUUCUAUAGUUGUUGGUAUACCCUUCAAUGCAGUUUUUUCAGGCCAUGCUUUGGAUUAAGAAGAGAACAGCUAAAUGAAAGGGAAAAUGAAAAUAAACUCUCCCAAUGGAAGUUUGAAGCAAAGUGUCUGAUAUCCAGAGAAGACCAAUUUUGAGCUCAGAGCUGCAGCUCAUGCUAAGCAGGUUUGCUGCACUUGCUCAUUCCUGUUUGUAUCAGCUGUCUUUUCUGAAUCUGACAGCAACACACUGGUAGAAGCAGCUAAGAAAAAGCAAGGAUUAGUAAAGUAAUCUCUAGUGGUAUCCUCCAUUCUGCUCUAAAACUUGGGGGAAGGGGAGAAUAGUUAGUGUUCAGAGGAAAGAAUAUUUGCUCUUGUACAACUGUGUUUUCCCUCCCUUAUUCAUGGAUGAAGCUUCAAUCAUUCAAAAACCUCUAAAUGCAAAUAUAUGUUUCUAGUUGAGUUUACUCAAUGUGUUCGUUUAUCAGGAAGAAGACAGAAGAAAACAUCUCCUUUACCCCAUAUUAAAAAAAAAAAAAUUGAGGCAAUUACUUUUGUGUUCCAGCACUUUGCCACAGAAAAAUCAUCAAAUUGAUGCAUCCUGCUGAUUGAAUGGGGACCAAAUACUUUGGGAAGAAAAAGGAAAAACAAAAAACAACAUGCAAUCAUGUGGUCAGAUACUGCAUAAUUGGCGUGUUUUGCAGCUCUAGAAUAUUUGAUUUUUUUUUUUGAGGAUUUAUCAGUCUCUUAAGAUAGUUUUUUUUUUUUUUACAUGCUGUAUUUAUAACUCUGGCUUGUGCAUCAUCUUUGUUUCCCCUACCUUUUGUCUGUCUUAGCUGUUGCUUUACAUCUACCUUAAGACUGAAAGCUCUUAGGGCAGAAAAAUUACCUUCCUGUAAGUCUGGGAAGCAACUAGCAUUUGACAAUAUCAUAACUGUUGUAAUAGUGAUUAUCUGAGGUUACCAUUUUAAAAAUACAAAAGGUCAAUGCUUAAAAAGGCAGGGCUUAAGAGCAGCGUACAUUCUUAAGGAAAACUCUAUUUUGGUGUUAAGCAUCUCAGCAUUUAUAAGGAUGAAAAAGAUUUCUCCCUGAAUGUGUUUAAAAAUGGUUUGGAUGUGGUGCUCAUGAACAUGAUUCAGCAGUGGGUUGUUAGGGUAGUUUGGUUAGGUUGCAGUUGGAGUUGAUGUUCUUCAAGGUCUUUUCCAACCUGAGCAACUCUAUGAUUCUAUUAUUUCAAAAAGCUGAUCUUACAUCUGAGUAAUUGCUAGCUAAUUUACAGUUUUUCUGUAUUUGGCAAGAGAAAAUGCAGGGAAAAAAAGUUCCUUCCACUUCACUGGGUAUUGCUGGUGUAACUUGUCCUACAGAAGUCAGCAUGGUGGUAGAAAAGCUCUCAAAGAAAGGGAAGAAUCAGAUCAAACUUUUCUGGAGUAUGUGACUAUUUCAAACCUAUUGCAUCUGAAAAUACUGUGUUAAGAAUGCAUCAAGCAAUAAAACAUAUCUGGCAAAAGGUUUCUAAUUACUGUCAAGGUGAGCUUCCCACUGAGUCUUCAUCAAAGUUUUAACCCAAACAAUGAUAAUCAACAGAGAUGGUGACAAAUGGAAAGGAAGUGAGGAAGAAUAGUGACAUUUGGUGCUGAACCAUAUGUGCGUGGUUUGAAAGACAUGACUGAAUUGUUUUUGGUGCUCUAUUAUUCUGACAUUUAGAAUGAGGCAAGUUUCCAUUUCCAUUAAUGUACUGCCAACUCAAAGGGGAACUGUCGCAAAUUUGAGACUAAAGAAAGCUGUUCCUCAAACUUCUCUUGAGCAUAAUCAAUGCCCUUGCUAAGCAACAGUGUAGUACCACGAUGUAUAAUCUAAAGUAUUCUUACAGUUUCUGCUUCUUGAAUACAAGAAUGUGUUUUAUAGCCCAUGAUGAUUUGGCAUCACUUGCUUUGAUAAAAGAUCAUGGAUUUAUCUAUGAAUGAAGAGCAACCAGUGAGAAGGAUCUCUGUUCAUCAAGAUUUUUCUGAAUGCUAACCUGGCAAGUACAGCCACUGAGAAAGUGACCCAGCUUUAGCUGGAGGACUUUCAGAGGAAAGAACCUGAUAGCUUGGUAUCCUUUUAAAUUGUAACAAAACCCCAGAUUUGUUUGAAGAAAUAGUGGAAUGACCUUCAACUUCCUUUAUCAUGUUUAAGGUCCAUAGAUAUCUUUACCAAAAGAGGGGGAAGGAAAAACAAAACAAAACACAAAACAACAACAACAAAAAAAAAAAAACAAGGAGGAAGCAGAAGGUAGCACAAGGUGACUUGGAAAUAAGGAUCCUGCAAAGAAGCUCUAGGCUCCAUCCUUCUCUUCAGCUUCUGGGUGCUGAAAUUUCCAUUAACUGUUCAGUAGCUUUACAAACAACCUGAAUUUAAGGGUUUCUCCUGACUUUGUGCAGCAGUAGAUGAGGAGUUCUGGAGAUGACAGUGAUUAAAACUGAAGGAAUGAUUAUUCAAAAUCAAAAUUAUCAGCAUGUGCUUUCUUUACUAAUUAACAUUUCCUCCAUGUGACUGUGUCUCUCUAAAGGUUUGGUCAUUGGCUCAACUUAAUUCUCCCAGCAGGCAGUGAUUGUUCUUCAGUAACAGAAGAAAUCAGUCAUACUAGCUGCCAUAUUGACUUCAUGAUAUUAUUCUGUGUGUGUGUGUGUAAGAAAACUUCCAGGUAAUAAACUGCAUUUUUUUUACUUAAUUCCUUUUCCGUAGUAGACUUGGAGCCCAACUUUCGCCAUUUCGCCCUCACUCAGUGGAAGAAUGAACUCAGCUGAUCUUCAGAAUAGUGCUGUGCUCCAAAUCACAGCCCUGAGCUGAUCCUGCUCUCCAGCUCCUCCUGAUGCUCAUUCCUGGAGCACUCUACAGCCAGCCAGAAGUCCAUUUCCCUGCAUGAUUCACAAAUUCCUUUGAGACCAUGCAGGACUUUGAUACCAUCAUUCAUUUUUUUUUUCUUUUUAGUUUGAUAAAGAAUGAGGAAGUUGCUCCAAUGUCACUUUUGCACCCCUUUUUGUGGUAUUUGUCCAUUCUGCUGGCAGAAAGCAGAUUGAGCAAAUAUGCAUGUCAAGAUAUUACAGGUAGACCUUGACUUCAUAGAAAUGAAUUGAUUGAUAGAAAAAUUGGCAAAACUGGCAGUCAUGGCAUCAGAAUCCUCUCAUGGAGAAAGUGAUAUAAAGGUUAAAUAUCCUGUAAUAAUGAAGUGUAUACUCCUUCAAAACAUCCUUCUAUUUGAUCUCAAAAAUUGGACCUUUGGUGAAAAUACAAGCCAUGAAAUGAAUGAAGGUGAAGAAUAACCAGCAGAAAUACCAAGGGAGAGGCACAAUUUCAGUAUAAAUCACAGAAUUUACCUUGGAAAGGAUGCAAGCACAAUCCCUAGAAGUAGUGCAGAUUUGUGAACUCAACAUUGAAUUCACCUCCCUUUAAACUCUAGGUGAGUUGGGAAUAUGAAUAACACAAUGUCAUGUGAGAUGGGGAAGUAAAUGAAACCUGGAAAGCAGCCAAGUGGGGAAAAAAAAUAAAAGAACAAAGAAAAGGAGAAAGUUUACUGCUCUGUUUGCAAUGGCUGUUGACAAAAAUGCUACCUCGAAUA
ensembl:lncRNA